rnacentral:rRNA from 1 species
CAAAGAUUAAGCCAUGCAUGUCUAAGUAUAAGCACUUGUACUGUGAAACUGCGAAUGGCUCAUUAAAUCAGUUAUCGUUUAUUUGAUUGUACUUUACUACAUGGAUACCUGUGGUAAUUCUAGAGCUAAUACAUGCGAAAAAUCCCGACUUCUGGAAGGGAUGUAUUUAUUAGAUUAAAAACCAAUGCGGGUCCUCGUGGCUCGUUUUCUUGGUGAUUCAUGAUAACUUUUCGAAUCGUAUGGCCUAGCGCCGACGAUGUUUCAUUCAAAUUUCUGCCCUAUCAACUGUCGAUGGUAAGGUAGUGGCUUACCAUGGUUGUAACGGGUGACGGAGAAUUAGGGUUCGAUUCCGGAGAGGGAGCCUGAGAAACGGCUACCACAUCUAAGGAAGGCAGCAGGCACGAAAAUUACCCAAUCCCAACUCGGGGAGGUAGUGACAAGAAAUAACGAUACGGGGUCUUAAUAGGUCUCGCAAUUGGAAUGA